rnacentral:lncRNA from 1 species
GCAUUAAGGCAGAUCUUGAAUUUUGGCAAUGAAGUUGUAGAAGAUCUCCAAGCUUUUAUCAUCUGUCAUUGGUAUGGUGUGUCCAUUGGGAUGAUGGAUGAUCAGAGGGUCGACGAAGGACUCUAGUAAACCAAUGCCCUCCUCCUUUACAAUAUCUGUCUCUCCUAGAUGGAGUAGUGAUGGGAGCUGAAAAGGAAGCAGCUGCAAGUUUUGGCACCCCAAACAUUGAACCACCAAAUUUAGCC